CUCGUUUGGGUUGGGCGUCGGCUAAGAGUGCUCGGAGCGUGGAUUAACUCCAGUCUCCUAUCAGGUGUGUAUUUUCUCGCUACUCUAGCUGUUGGAUGGCUACUUCAGGCCGCGAUGGGCCGGAAGGGGUCAUGUGGGCCUAAUGGGCCUACGGGCCCAAUUGGAUAAGUUGUUUGAUUGUGUAGUAAAUAUUGGACUAGGCUAGGUGAAUCUCAUAUUUGUGGCUAGAUUUGGGCUACAAGGGCCACACGAGCGUGUGGGCCCAUUUGGGCCGAGAAUAGGCUUUAGGCCCAUUUGUAUUGUUAUCCAUGUUUAGAAUACUUUAGUUUACCAAUUUACUGAAAUGCCCUCAAUUUGUAGAAUUACCAUUUUACCCUCGAUUUAUAGAAUUACCGUUUCACCCUCGAUUUAUAAAAUUACAAUUUUACCCUCAAUUUAUAAAAUUACCAUUUUACCCUCGAUUUACAGAAUUAUCGUUUUACCCUCGAUUUGUAAAAUUAUCAUUUUACCCUCGAUUGUGAAAUUACUGAAAUACCCCUGUAGGAUAGAAUUACCAAAAUACCCCUAGUUUGUAAAAUUACCAAAAUACCACUGGUUUAUGAAAUUACCGAAAUACCCUCAAUUUGUAAAAUUACAAAAAUACCCCUGAUUUACAAAAUUACAGAAAUACCCUUGACUUUUUAAAAAUUAUAGAAAUACCAUUAGUUUACAAAAUUACUGAAAUACCCUUGGUUUGUAGAUUUACCAAAACACCCUUGUAGGAUGAAAUGACUAAAAUACCCCUAAUAGGUAAAAAGACCGUAAAGCCCCUGUAGGAUAAAGUGACCGUAAUACCCUUGUAUGGUAAAAUGACGAAUAUGCCCUUAUGUUUCGUAUGACUGAUGUGCUUAGGAUUUACAUAUAUUGAUAUUGGAUUAGUUAAGUUUGAGUGACAGGUGGUGGUUAUCGUAGGUGAUUGAUUAUGGAAACGUUUCAACUUCAACCCAUAACAGGUGUGUACUAACCCUCGUAGUAGCUUAGAUUAAUAUCUGCUGAGAAGCCGAAAUGCUAAAAUACCGGUAUUUCAGGAACUUGUAAUGUUGCGUAUGGGUAUAGAUGCGAUAAAUAAGAUAAGAUCGGUGUUUGGAUCGAUGGAACGGGUAAGAACUCAAUUUUGUGCACGAUGGUAAGUUGGGCCUCAAUGGGCAGGAAUUGGGUAAAAUUGAUAGAAAAUGGAAUUUGGAAAAUUUGAUGUUAACACGGUUAGUAUUGUUGUAAAUUUUGGGUUAAGCAGGCUUAGUGGGCUAAAUCAGCAUUCGUAGGGCCCAUUAGGGGUUUUGGGCCCAAAAGCCCAAAUUUGAUAUGUGGGUUAAAGAUCAUUGUUUAAACACUCGGAAAUAUUGACAAUUGUAGUGAACAUGGAAAACCCUGAUUUUUGGUAAAAUUACGAAAAUACCCUUAUAAUAUGAAAAAUUAUCAUUUUGCCCUUGUGGGCAAGUGACUGACUUGGACUGUGUGGUUUGACGGAUUUGAUUGUGAAUAUAUGCUGAUGAUAUGAAUGACUUGACUGUGAUUGUUUGAUUCAAAUAUGGGCAUGACAUUCUGCAUACAUGACAUAUUGCAUGGGAUAUGGGUUAUAUUGAUGGAGGAAGUGCUAAAAGGGCUCUGACCCAGUUUAUCAGAAAGGGCUUUGCCCCAGUUAUUAAAAGAGGCUAGGCCUCCAGUUAUAUGAUAAAGCAGCUAUGCUGCCAGUGGAGAGUUUGUUUGGGUGGGUUGAGUUAUUCCCCACCUGGAGAGCUUGGUUGGUACGGGUGGAGAGUAGCAGAUGGUGGGUCGAGUAGUCUCUCCAAAUAGGCUUGCAUGCAUUCAUUGACAUUACAUGCGAUAUUGAAAUGGGCUUGCAUACAUCCAUUGACAUUACAUGUGAUAUUGAAAUAGUCCUAAGGGCCAUACCGUUUACAGUAAAGGCUUCGGCCCAGUGAUAUGAUUUAUGAAAAGGCUUCGGCCCAGUGAUAUGAUUUAUGGAAAGGCUUCAGCCCAAUAUAUGUCAAGACUAAAUAGAGCUUUGGCCCAGAUUGUACUGAUACCGUGUUAUUUACUAUUUGUUUGUUAUUGGGAUUACACACUGAGUUUUCGUAAACUCCCUCCUUUUCUAACUGUGCAGGAAAUCCCUAGGCUUAGAUGGUUUGGAGCUGCGAGGGACUCGGAGAUGGCC
rnacentral:lncRNA from 1 species